rnacentral:lncRNA from 1 species
CUGCCGGCAGUCGCCAGGGCAACCUGCCUCCAUCUCCUGCCUCGCCCGGGCGGGGACACCCCGCCGGCCCCCCGAGGGACCCGCCGCUACAAGGGGGAUGCGAAGGCGGGGUGCGCGGGGAAGGGGGGCCCCCGUCCCUCCCGGACUGCAGCAUCCCGCCCGCCGCAGUGCUGCCGGCUGGGGCGGCAGGAGGGCUCAGCACCGGCACAGCCCCGGAGGACGGUGUGACCCUCGCCGAGGCCACAGCGAGCAGAAUCCUGCACACCUAAGCGAGAAGGGGGAAGGGUCCAGAUCCUUCUGGUCAUCUGAUUCAGGUCAAGCAGGACUUCCCAUUGCCAGCAGCCCGCAGAUCCCACUGGAGCAGCUCCCAGCGCCUGCUGCUGCCCCCCGGGAGGGAGGUGGGAUGCUCUUUCAAUCCCUGGAAGACUGAGAGGCUGGGCCCUGUCCCCGGCGGUGUCCUG